rnacentral:rRNA from 1 species
UGGGGAAUAUUGGACAAUGGGCGAAAGCCUGAUCCAGCCAUGCCGCGUGUGUGAAGAAGGUCUUCGGAUUGUAAAGCACUUUAAGUUGGGAGGAAGGGCAGUAAGCGAAUACCUUGCUGUUUUGACGUUACCGACAGAAUAAGCACCGGCUAACUCUGUGCCAGCAGCCGCGGUAAUACAGAGGGUGCAAGCGUUAAUCGGAAUUACUGGGCGUAAAGCGCGCGUAGGUGGUUCGUUAAGUUGACUGUGAAAGCCCCGGGCUCAACCUGGGAACUGCAUCCAAAACUGGCGAGCUAGAGUAGGGCAGAGGGUGGUGGAAUUUCCUGUGUAGCGGUGAAAUGCGUAGAUAUAGGAAGGAACACCAGUGGCGAAGGCGACCACCUGGGCUAAUACUGACACUGAGGUGCGAAAGCGUGGGGAGCAAACAGG